rnacentral:rRNA from 1 species
UGGGGAAUAUUGGACAAUGGGCGGAAGCCUGAUCCAGCAACGCCGCGUGAGGGAUGACGGCCUUCGGGUUGUAAACCUCUUUCAGCACAGACGAAGCGCAAGUGACGGUAUGUGCAGAAGAAGGACCGGCCAACUACGUGCCAGCAGCCGCGGUAAUACGUAGGGUCCGAGCGUUGUCCGGAAUUAUUGGGCGUAAAGGGCUCGUAGGCGGUUUGUCGCGUCGGGAGUGAAAACACCGGGCUUAACUCGGUGCUUGCUUUCGAUACGGGCAGACUAGAGGCAUUCAGGGGAGAACGGAAUUCCUGGUGUAGCGGUGAAAUGCGCAGAUAUCAGGAGGAACACCGGUGGCGAAGGCGGUUCUCUGGGAAUGUCCUGACGCUGAGGAGCGAAAGUGUGGGGAGCGAACAGAAUUAGAUACCCUGGUAGUCCACACCGUAAACGUUGGGCGCUAGGUGUGGGAUCCAUUCCACGGGUUCCGUGCCGCAGCUAACGCAUUAAGCGCCCCGCCUGGGGAGUACGGCCGCAAGGCUAAAACUCAAAUGAAUU